rnacentral:lncRNA from 1 species
UUGGCUUCCAUCGCUGACCUGUUGCCCACACAUUCCCCCGCCUCUUCCUCCGGGAGCCUUUGAUUGAGUACUGUCGCUCCUGGCCCCUCCCCCUCUUGCAGUCAAUUGGCUGUGACGACUGCCACUCAAACCCCAGACGGAAGAACUGUGGCCCUACUCCAGCUGUGCGCAUGCUCAGACCGUCGGGAGGUGCUUGGUUCGCUAGUUCCGGAGACGGCUCUAUGGUUGCGUGACGUCAUCGGAUGCGACGCGCGUUGGGAAUGAUAUCCAGGCUGCGGGCGCCCCUGUUUCCCCAACAGGUGCUGGGUGAGGCCUCGGAGUGACCCGGAGCCGGCAGAAGGGCACGGCCAGGAUCACCUACCGGGGCUGAAGGUGCCCCAGAAACCGUCGGAGACUGAGGAGGAGUUUCCUGCCCAACCACAAGAUGCCAGAAUAUCGCUUGGCUGAAACGGCUGCACAGCGAGAGGCUUGCGAGCACCUGCUCUCCUACAUCCAUUUUCCUUCCAUCCAGAUGAGGCUGUAGUCUGGUGGCAGAAAGGAGGACUUCGGCAAGGGCUCUCCUGCUGUUCUCCAACAAGGUCCCUGUGCUGUUUGCAGUGUGCAGAUGCCUGCUGGGAGGAGCCGUCCAGAGUGAAGCAUGGAGCUGAAAGUGAGGGAGCAAGACAAAGUCAGGCUCCCUGCUCUGCAGGGCCAGCUGGGAGCAGCACUGGUACAUGCUCCAUGCAGACAUGAUGAUGUCAUGAUUGGUUGAUAAAUACAUGCUAUAGAGAGGGAGUCCUUGGCGAGCCCCCCAAAUAAGUUAAUCCCCUCUCUUCUUUGGCUCUUCCUUUCCUUCUGGUGAGGGACUCCUUCUGCUCCCACAGCACUUUGCUUUCAUGCUCCUGCCCAUGGCCUGGGGAGGGGAAGUUGUCCACAGAUGCCAAAGGGCAGGGGAUGGGCUGUGCUGUGUGGGGGGCACUGAGGGGCUUCCCUGCAUGCUGCACACAGUCUUGGCCUGCACUGCUCACCAUGGAGCUUGACUUGGUCUCUUCUAGCCUGAGCCCCAUUGCUGGGAGGGCACUGCUGGCCAAUGGGCUCCCAUUUGCCUCUACUUCCCAUGCAGGAAAAGCAGUGGGCUGCAGUGCCCCGAGCAAACCAGCCUGAGACAUUGCUAUGCUUCCCACCGGUGAGAAACACUGAGCACAGAACUGCUACUGUGCUCACCUGUCUAUGACUUUCUUCCUAAACUAGCAAUUACAUGCUGUGCCCGGCUUGGCCACCAUCCUUUCCUGUCUCUGUGUCAUUAGGAGUUUUGUACUGUCCCUCGUUGUGCCCUUGAGAAGGUCUGGGUGGACAUACUGGGAUCAUCAAAAUCUUGAUGUCAUUGACGUGUAAUUUUUUUCCUGUAUGCAUGCAUGAACAAUUCAUUUAUGUCCGAACGUUCAAUUCUCCAGAACCUAAGUACUUCAAAAGAAAGUGUUAAGCCUGCCUGAGAUUCUCUCUCCAGUUCCAAACGGAUAAUAUGGGACAAAGGAAAUAAGUGGAGUACGUGUUGUAAGCUUUUCCAUUCCUGUCAGGCUACAGCAACAGCCCACAUUUCUGAUAUCUUAAUAUUUUUAAGGAAUAACGAGCCAUCUGUGAAAAACAGGUUAGAAUAUAGUUGAUAGCAGAAUAGUAACUGAAUGGUUUUCCAUAUGGGAAUUAGUCCAAAAAUAAAAACGAACGCCUAGUUUUUCAGACAUAGCUGUAGGAUACCCAGGUUUGAUUUGGGCUUCUGGAUGCCUGAGACCCAACUACUCAACCCUGGGGCAUCCUGCUACAGGCUCGGUGCAGCAGGAAUGAGUUGGCUUUGCAUGCUGGCAAUACCUGCACUUAGCAAAAGCAAUGGAGCCUAAGUCCUGCAGCAAAUGAAGAUAUGAGGCAGACCCAGCAAUGUCCUCGCAUAUGUCAGCCUGUCUCAGGCUGUAACAGAAGAGUUCACCAUGCUUUGUGCAUCUGCACACAGAUAUUUACAUGGGAGCAACUGCAAGCAUGAGGGCCCUGAAGGAGGAUGGUGGAUGUGUGGACUGCGAGGAGGUCCAGAAAAUGGAGGAGACAAACACCAGGGUACUCUGGCAAGAGCCCACACGGCAGGUACAGCCUGGGACUGGCAUCUAUAGGCAGUUACACUACACAGACCUGUACACAGCCUUCUGCUGUGGGAACACAGCCAGGGAAGGCUGCCUGGACCCCAAUGAUGCGACACUGGCAAGCAAAUGUGGGAGAUGCUCAAGGAGGGUUUAAGCACUCAGCUCAGCGGUUCCUAAUGAAAAGCCAGCACCCAGGUGCACUAUGAGUUGCUAUUUAUUCAGUAUUCCUUCACAAGACCUGCAGGCAUCUCUGGGGGGAGCUGUACACAGCGUGCCAGGCCCAGCAGCACUGCGCGGUGCCCCUCCCAUGUGGCAAUGUGGCACGGACUCCACUGCAGUUGCAUAGCAAAAUCAUUUAUUAUCCUUGUCUAUAGACUUUUAUACCCACGCUAGCUUAACCUGGUAAUUUUCCACUGUUCUCUAUACUCCAAAGCUUCUUCAGCUCUGCCCACUGGGUUCUAUCCUUCCCUAGUAUGUUGUUGGGAGGGCCAUCAGCACUUGGUGGCAGCAAGAGUGGCACAGAGUUACUCUCAGACACCUUCUGCCCCAGCCUGCAUGCCUGCAGUCCCAUCUGUGGGGGUCCUUGGCUCAACGCCGGCUCACUGCCCCUGAGCCAGGACAUGGCAGGAGCUGCCCACACUUACUGCCGUAGUGGGAUCUUUGCUGGUACUCUCUGAUGCUCCUUUUCCCACACCUCCCUCCCCUCCUGGAGCUCUCGGUCAUACUCCAUCCUCUGGAUGUAGCCUGGAGGAGUGGGGCAGAAGGAUUCCUGGAAAGCAAGAGGGAGGCUUAUUCAGCAGCGUGUAAACGUGGAUCUGCCUCCAAAGCACAUGUGCAGAGGGAAUGACAACAGGACUGCAGAUAGGGCAGAGGAAUUUGGGAAGUCCCCCAGUGCCAAAGCUCACUGUGGUGCAGGGCUCACUGUGCUUCCCAGUUAACUGCUGGGAAACUCUUGUUUUCCUUGCUUUUUACAAAUGCCUUACCAGGUGAUUUCUGCUGUAUCUUAAGCUCUCCUUUUUCUGUUUUGGCAACCUCCUGCUGUCAUGCAGCACGUGCCCUCCUCUGUUACGCAUGGGGGAAAAGAACACAAAGAGUGCAACCUUGGUCUCCUGACCUUAUGCUCUUCUGCCAUCCCUCUUUUCUGGUCUCUCCUGCCCUUCUGCUCUUCUGCUUCCCUGCCCUUUUUGCAUUCCUCUUCUCCUGACCUGCUCUUUUGCUCUUCUGUGCUCCUGCCCUUUGCGUCUUAUGCUCUCCUUGUCUCCUGUUCUCCUGACCUUCUGUGAUUUUUCCUUUCUGUUUUCUUUCCUUCCUACUCUCCUCCACUUCAGCUCUCCUGCCCUUCUGCCCUCAUUACCUUCUGCUCUCCUGCCCUCCUGGUAUCACACUGAUACCCCAACCUUGCGGGCUGAACCAGGAGACAGCAGGAUGCUCAGAGACUUCACCUGGAAAAGUACUUCCUCUGUGAACUAAUAUUAUUCACACCUCGGCUCACUCCCAACCCAGCUUCCAGGACUGCACAGAGUAUCCACAGCUCCAGUGCGCUCCUGUAGCUGGCUGCAUCCCAGGGAGGCAGAACACCUUCCUCUUGAGGCAGAGCCUCACCCCAGGAAGCCCCAGGGCCCAUCUGCACCCCACUGCCGUACCUUCACACUCCAGCACCCAGUAGGGAGGGCCUGCAGCUCUGCCAUGACAAGACUAGGAAGCCGAAGUGGACCUCUGCAUGCCCAGGGAGUGUGAGCCAUGUUCUUCCUCCCAUCACGUGGCUCCCAGACCUCCCUCAGCCUCAGCCCAUGGCCUCUGCAACUCUCCUGAAGGACCUGGCUCCAUGCCCCAGUUUUUCAGCCCAGCCAAACCCAGGAGACAGCUCCACAGGCUGUGGGCUGCUGGGUGCAUGUGCCAGCCCCAUUGAUCCUCUAAAGCCUUCCCCAGACCCAGGCACUCAUCCACUGCCCCAGAGGUCCCUUGGUAGUAUGGGGCAGAGCUCUGUUAGACCUGCAAGGACGCAGCCCGUGCCCUACAGUGGGGUGGGAAUCCUGGCCCAAAGUAUUCCCUGCCCACCAGCCCAAAGGAGAUAAUCCAGCCUUCUGCUGGAUUCUGGGCAGGGGCAGAUCCCAGCAGCACUGGGAAGAAAGUGCCUUUGGGGAGAGGGCAGCCCCACGACAAAGUUGUGGCUGAUCUGCAGCCAAGCUCCCUCAGGGCCGGAAGAACAUCCAGCUCUGAAAUGCCCCUUGGAAUGGCAAAUGAUCAUUGGGGUGGGAAGUGAUUGGAUGGGAAAGAUGUUUGGGUACAAAAAAUUAAAGCAUUGCAAGCCUGGGGGAAAGGGAUUGAUCCCAAAGGUCGCUGUUGGGAUGGAGCUCCUGUUGUGGAAGGGGCCUUCCUAACUGCCACUCUC